AGCUUAUAUGGAGUGCAGAAUUUCUUGCAUCCAAUUGAACAAACAAAACUGAGUAUUUGUAAAGAGGAGUGUUUAGUUAAAGACUACCCUUGUGAUGAGGAUGUCUUUCAACUGUGCGUACAACUCCUGGAUGAACAUAACCUUGCACUGUCAGAUGAUGUUUAUGAAAUUACAGACCUGUACCUUAAGCUUCAUGAACUGAUCCUUGAAGGACUGGACUUGGAUGACUAGAUGCACCAUUGAGAUCUUAUCUACAACAUUCACUAGAAGUCCCAAAAGAACCUUCUGGGGUUAAAAAUCUCUGCAAUUCCCACCUUACUUUCACUGUGCUGUGUCUGUCUUUCAAGAUAACAGGAUUAUGGGAUCAAUAAACCUAUACAUAUUAAGAUGGAACAACUGUUUACAUGAUUUUCAUACACCCUUCAGGAUCCCUUGUCUGUCAGACACAGUGCUUAAGAAUGAAUCAAUAAUUUGUUCCAGACCAUCCCAUCAUCAAGUGCAAAAGAAGGCCAGCAAGCUUAGAUGAGAUAAGAAUAAAAAUGCAUCAAGAUGCACUUCAUACAAAAUUAAAUUAAUAAUUUUUUUAUGACUACUUUUUAAAUGUAUAAACAUCUUUCCCAACUACAGUAAUGUAAAUUUUUUACAUGAUUUCAAACACUUUUGUGGUGCUCCACCUUUACUUUCAGACCUAACCUGAAUGCAAAUGAAACAGAGGACGUGAGUUUUAGAAGAAACAGUGUUUUGCUACUAAAAAGUAAAACAAUUUUGUUUAAACUGUAAAGCAUUA